AACACCGGCGGCCCGAGUGGUGAUCGUGAUUAUUGGGUCUAAAGGGUCCGUAGCCGGUUUGGUCAGUCCUCCGGGAAAUCUGAUAGCUCAACUAUUAGGCUUUCGGGGGAUACUGCCAGACUUGGAACCGGGAGAGGUAAGAGGUACUACAGGGGUAGGAGUGAAAUCUUGUAAUCCCUGUGGGACCACCUGUGGCGAAGGCGUCUUACCAGAACGGGUUCGACGGUGAGGGACGAAAGCUGGGGGCACGAACCGGAUUAGAUACCCGGGUAGUCCCAGCCGUAAACGAUGCUCGCUAGGUGUCAGGCAUGGCGCGACCGUGUCUGGUGCCGCAGGGAAGCCGUGAAGCGAGCCACCUGGGAAGUACGGCCGCAAGGCUGAAACUUAAAGGAAUUGGCGGGGGAGCACAACAACGGGUGGAGCCUGCGGUUUAAUUGGACUCAACGCCGGACAACUCACCGGGGGCGACAGCAAUAUGUAGGCCAAGCUGAAGACUUUGCCUGAAUCGCUGAGAGAGGAGGUGCAUGG
rnacentral:rRNA from 1 species